rnacentral:rRNA from 1 species
UACGUAGGUCCCGAGCGUUGUCCGGAUUUAUUGGGCGUAAAGCGAGCGCAGGUGGUUUAUUAAGUCUGGUGUAAAAGGCAGUGCUCAACCAUUGUAUGCAUUGGAAACUGGUAGACUUGAGUGCAGGAGAGGAGAGUGGAAUUACAUGUGUAGCGGUGAAAUGCGUAGAUAUAUGGAGGAACACCGGUGGCGAAAGCGGCUCUCUGGCCUGUAACUGACACUGAGGCUCGAAAGCGUGGGGAGCAAACAGG